GCAUCGAUGAAGAACGCAGCGAAAUGCGAUAAGUAAUGUGAAUUGCAGAAUUCAGUGAAUCAUCGAAUCUUUGAACGCAACUUGCGCUCUCUGGUAUUCCGGAGAGCAUGCCUGUUUGAGUGUCAUGAUCUCUCAACCAAUAGGGUUUCUUAUUGGCUUGGAUCUGGGUGUUGCCAGCUUUGUCUGGCUCGCCUUAAAGGAGUUAGCGAGUAAAGCUCUGUCGUCUGGCGUAAUAAGUUUCGCUGGUGUAGACAGUGGUGGCGCACGCUUAUAAUCGCCUUCGGGCAAUUUUUGACUCUGGCCUCAAAUCAGGUAGGACUACCCGCUGAACUUAAGCAUAUCAAUAAGCGGAGGA
rnacentral:rRNA from 1 species